rnacentral:lncRNA from 1 species
UCCCCUCCCUCCUCCCAGGGGGCGGAGCGAAGAGGAGGAGAAACAGGCAGGCUACUUUCGAAAGGUAGGAGCCGCGCGCUCACCGCCCAGGCCCGGCUAUUCCCGUCAGGGCUUUACGCGAGUGGCGUAGCGCGGGAUGGGUGGGGUGGAGGCCAAGGGAGGAAAGCGGCGCCUUUUCUUUUUUUUUACGACGGCGACGUUGCUUGGCGGCCGCACCAGGCAGCGCCCCCCAGCGAGGAGCGUAAGGCCCGGUGGCAGGUGGAGCAACAGGGAUUCUCCCCAAAAACAUAUGAAGACCUGUGGCCUUUAUAGGACAGAAGAGACCAAGAGGCUGCGAGUUGUAUUUGAAGGCGAGACAGACUCGGAGGAGCCACAUAAAGGGAGUGAUAACUAUCCGGCCACCCGCCGACCACGAGUGCCGACAACGGGCACCCCCGGGAAGAACCCUCUCCAGAGCAGAAUCCAACCAUGUCUAUCUGGCAUUUCAAACAGACCCCUGGAGAGAGUGUCCCGAGGGCCAUGA